rnacentral:rRNA from 1 species
CAGUCGAGCGGACCAAUGAAGAGCUUGCUCUUCGGCGGUUAGCGGCGGACGGGUGAGUAACACGUAGGCAACCUGCCUGUACGACUGGGAUAACUCCGGGAAACCGGAGCUAAUACCGGAUACUUCUUUCAGACCGCAUGGUCUGAAAGGGAAAGACCUUUGGUCACGUACAGAUGGGCCUGCGGCGCAUUAGCUAGUUGGUGGGGUAACGGCCUACCAAGGCGACGAUGCGUAGCCGACCUGAGAGGGUGAUCGGCCACACUGGGACUGAGACACGGCCCAGACUCCUACGGGAGGCAGCAGUAGGGAAUCUUCCGCAAUGGACGAAAGUCUGACGGAGCAACGCCGCGUGAACGAUGAAGGUUUUCGGAUCGUAAAGUUCUGUUGUUAGGGAAGAACCGCCGGGAUGACCUCCCGGUCUGACGGUACCUAACGAGAAAGCCCCGGCUAACUACGUGCCAGCAGCCGCGGUAAUACGUAGGGGGCAAGCGUUGUCCGGAAUUAUUGGGCGUAAAGCGCGCGCAGGCGGCUUCUUAAGUCAGGUGUGAAAGCCCACGGCUCAACCGUGGAGGGCCACUUGAAACUGGGAAGCUUGAGUGCAGGAGAGGAGAGCGGAAUUCCACGUGUAGCGGUGAAAUGCGUAGAGAUGUGGAGGAACACCCGUGGCGAAGGCGGCUCUCUGGCCUGUAACUGACGCUGAGGCGCGAAAGCGUGGGGAGCGAACAGGAUUAGAUACCCUGGUAGUCCACGCCGUANACGUUGAGUGCUAGGUGUUGGGGACUCCAAUCCUCAGUGCCGCAGCUAACGCAAUAAGCACUCCGCCUGGGGAGUACGGCCG